rnacentral:rRNA from 1 species
AUUGAACGCUGGCGGCAGGCCUAACACAUGCAAGUCGAACGCGUGGCGGACGGGUGAGUAAUGUCUGGCAAACUGCCCGAUGGAGGGGGAUAACACCUGGAAACGGUGGCUACUACCGCAUACCCUCGGCGGUGCCCCGAUGGGAUUAGCUGGUAGGUGAGGUAACGGCUCACCUCGGCGACGAUCCCUAGCUGGUCUGAGAGGAUGACCAGCCACACUGGAACUGAGACACGGUCCAGACUCCUACGGGAGGCAGCAGUGGGGAAUAUUGCACAAUGGGCGCAAGCCUGAUGCAGCCAUGCCGCGUGUAUGAAGAAGGCCUUCGGGUUGUAAAGUACUUUCAGCGGGGAGGCGUUACCCGCAGAAGAAGCACCGGCUAACUCCGUGCCAGCAGCCGCGGUAAUUC